rnacentral:rRNA from 1 species
AUUGAACGCUGGCGGCAGGCCUAACACAUGCAAGUCGAACGAGCGGCGGACGGGUGAGUAAUGUCUGGGAAACUGCCUGAUGGAGGGGGAUAACUACUGGAAACGGUAGCUAAUACCGCAUACGAUCAGAUGGGCCCAGAUGGGAUUAGCUUGUUGGUGGGGUAACGGCUCCCCAAGGCCACGAUCCCUAGCUGGUCUUAGAGGAUGACCAGCCAGACUUGAACGGAGACACGGUCCGUGCCCCUACGGGAGGCCGCAGGGGGGAAUAUUGCACAAUGGGCGCAAGCCUGAUGCAGCCCUGCCGCGUGUAUGAAGAAGGCCUGCGGGUUGUAAAGUCCUUUCAGCGGGGAGGCGUUACCCGCAGAAGAAGCCCCGGCUAACUCCGUGCCAGCAGCCGCGGUAAUUC